GAUGAACGCUGGCGGCGUGCCUAAUACAUGCAAGUCGAGCGAACAGACGAGGAGCUUGCUCCUCUGACGUUAGCGGCGGACGGGUGAGUAACACGUGGAUAACCUACCUAUAAGACUGGGAUAACUUCGGGAAACCGGAGCUAAUACCGGAUAAUAUAUUGAACCGCAUGGUUCAAUAGUGAAAGACGGUUUUGCUGUCACUUAUAGAUGGAUCCGCGCCGUAUUAGCUAGUUGGUAAGGUAACGGCUUACCAAGGCAACGAUGCGUAGCCGACCUGAGAGGGUGAUCGGCCACACUGGAACUGAGACACGGUCCAGACUCCUACGGGAGGCAGCAGUAGGGAAUCUUGCGCAAUGGGCGAAAGCUUGACGGAGCAACGCCGCGUGAGUGAUGAAGGUCUUCGGAUCGUAAAACUCUGUUAUUAGGGAAGAAGAAAUGUGUAAGUAACUAUGCACGUAUUGACGGUACCUAAUCAGAAAGCCACGGCUAACUACGUG
rnacentral:rRNA from 1 species